GACGAACGCUGGCGGCGUGCUUAACACAUGCAAGUCGAACGGUGAAGGUGGAGCUUGCUCCGCCGGAUCAGUGGCGAACGGGUGAGUAACACGUGGGCAACCUGCCCCUAACUUUGGGAUAACUACUCGAAAGAGUAGCUAAUACCGGAUAUGAAGUCUGUAGGCAUCUAUGGAUUUGGAAAGUUUUUCGGUUAGGGAUGGGCCCGCAGCCUAUCAGCUUGUUGGUGAGGUAGUGGCUCACCAAGGCGACGACGGGUAGCCGGCCUGAGAGGGCGACCGGCCACACUGGGACUGAGACACGGCCCAGACUCCUACGGGAGGCAGCAGUGGGGAAUAUUGCGCAAUGGGCGAAAGCCUGACGCAGCAACGCCGCGUGCGGGAUGAAGGCCUUCGGGUUGUAAACCGCUUUCAGCAGGGAAGAAGCGAAAGUGACGGUACCUGCAGAAGAAGCACCGGCUAACUACGUGCCAGCCGCCGCUGUAA
rnacentral:rRNA from 1 species